GUGGGAGUAGUUCAGUUGGUUAGAGCGCCAGGUUGUGGCCCUGGAGGUCGUGGGUUCGAAUCCCAUUUCUCACC
rnacentral:tRNA from 1 species